GACGAACGCUGGCGGCGUGCUUAACACAUGCAAGUCGAACGGAAAGGCCCUGCUUUUGUGGGGUGCUCGAGUGGCGAACGGGUGAGUAACACGUGAGUAACCUGCCCUUGACUUUGGGAUAACUUCAGGAAACUGGGGCUAAUACCGGAUAGGAGCUCCUGCUGCAUGGUGGGGGUUGGAAAGUUUCGGCGGUUGGGGAUGGACUCGCGGCUUAUCAGCUUGUUGGUGGGGUAGUGGCUUACCAAGGCUUUGACGGGUAGCCGGCCUGAGAGGGUGACCGGCCACAUUGGAACUGGGAUACGGCCCAGACUCCUACGGGAGGCAGCGGUGGGGAAUAUUGCAAAAUGGGCGGAAGCCUGAUGCAGAAACGCCGCGUGCGGGAUAACGGCCUUCGGGUUGUAAACCGCUUUCGCCUGUAACGAAGCGUGGGUGACGGUAAUGGGUAAGGAAGCACCGGCAAACUACGU
rnacentral:rRNA from 1 species